GAGGCCGUGGCUCAAUGUUAGAGCGUUCGACUCAAAAACCAAAGGUCGCGGGUUCGAAACCCAGGAUUCA
rfam:Schistocephalus solidus strain NST_G2 genome assembly, scaffold: SSLN_contig0024458